GCCCUUGUGGCGGAAUUGGUAGACGCGGUAGACUCAAAAUCUACUAUUCGCAAGGAUGUGGGAGUUCGAGUCUCCCCGAGGGCACCA
rnacentral:tRNA from 1 species